rnacentral:rRNA from 1 species
UACGGGGGGAGCAAGCGUUGUUCGGAUUUACUGGGCGUAAAGGGCGCGUAGGCGGCCACCGCAAGUCGACUGUGAAAUCUCCGGGCUUAACCCGGAAAGGUCAGCCGAUACUGCGGGGCUAGAGUGCAGAAGGGGCAACUGGAAUUCUCGGGUGUAGCGGUGAAAUGCGUAGAUAUCGAGAGGAACACCUGCGGCGAAGGCGGGUUGCUGGGCUGACACUGACGCUGAUGCGCGAAAGCUAGGGGAGCGAACAGG